rnacentral:rRNA from 1 species
UUAAGUGACUAAGCGUACAAGGUGGAUGCCUUGGCAAUCAGAGGCGAAGAAGGACGUGCUAAUCUGCGAAAAGCUUGGAUGAGUCGAUAAGAGGCGUUUAAUCCAAGAUAUCCGAAUGGGGAAACCCAGUAGAUGAAGAAUCUACUAUCACUUACUGAAUUCAUAGGUAAGUGAGGCAAACCGGGAGAACUGAAACAUCUAAGUACCCCGAGGAAAAGAAAUCAACCGAGAUUUCGUUAGUAGCGGCGAGCGAACGCGAAGGAGCCUGUUAGUGAUAAUGACAGAGACAGAGGAACAAGCUGGGAAGCUUGGCGAUACAGGGUGAUAGCCCCGUACUCGAAGUCCAGGUCAUGGUACUAAGCUAACGACAAGUAGGGCGGGACACGUGAUAUCCUGUUUGAAGAUGGGGGGACCAUCCUCCAAGGCUAAAUACUCCUGAUUGACCGAUAGUGAACCAGUACUGUGAAGGAAAGGCGAAAAGAACCCCGGUGAGGGGAGUGAAAUAGAACCUGAAACCUUGUACGUACAAGCAGUGGGAGCCCGCAAGGGUGACUGCGUACCUUUUGUAUAAUGGGUCAGCGACUUAUAUUUUGUAGCGAGGUUAACCGAAUAGGGGAGCCGAAGGGAAACCGAGUCUUAACUGGGCGAAUAGUUGCAAGGUAUAGACCCGAAACCCGGUGAUCUAGCCAUGGGCAGGUUGAAGGUUGGGUAACACUAACUGGAGGACCGAACCGACUAAUGUUGAAAAAUUAGCGGAUGACUUGUGGCUGGGGGUGAAAGGCCAAUCAAACCGGGAGAUAGCUGGUUCUCCCCGAAAUCUAUUUAGGUAGAGCCUUGAGCGGACACCUUCGGGGGUAGAGCACUGUUUCGGCUAGGGGUCCAUCCCGGAUUACCAACCCGAUGCAAACUACGAAUACCGAAGAGUGAUACUCAGGAGACACACGGCGGGUGCUAACGUCCGUCGUGGAGAGGGAAACAACCCAGACCGCCAGCUAAGGUCCCAAAGUCUAUAUUAAGUGGGAAACGAAGUGGGAAGGCUUAGACAGCUAGGAUGUUGGCUUAGAAGCAGCCAUCAUUUAAAGAAAGCGUAAUAGCUCACUAGUCGAGUCGGCCUGCGCGGAAGAUGUAACGGGGCUCAAAUAUAGCACCGAAGCUGCGGCAUCAGUAGCAAUACUGUUGGGUAGGGGAGCGUUCUGUAAGCGGAUGAAGGUGAAUCGAGAGGUUUGCUGGACGUAUCAGAAGUGCGAAUGCUGACAUAAGUAACGAUAAAACGGGUGAAAAACCCGUUCGCCGGAAGACCAAGGGUUCCUGUCCAACGUUAAUCGGGGCAGGGUGAGUCGGCCCCUAAGGCGAGGCUGAAGAGCGUAGUCGAUGGGAAACAGGUUAAUAUUCCUGUACUUGGUAAAGCUGCGAUGUGGGGACGGAGUAGGUUAGGUUAUCGCACUGUUGGAUAUGUGCGUUUAAGUUGGUAGGUGGGAAGUUUAGGCAAAUCCGGACUUCCUUAACACUGAGAGAUGAUGACGAGGCUCUACGGAGCUGAAGUAACCGAUACCACACUUCCAGGAAAAGCCACUAAGCGAAAGGCUUUACUAAACCGUACUGAAAACCGACACAGGUGGUCAGGUAGAGAAUACUCAGGCGCUUGAGAGAACUCGGGUGAAGGAACUAGGCAAAAUAGCACCGUAACUUCGGGAGAAGGUGCGCCGGCGUAGAUUGUAAGGGCUAGCCCCUGAAGGUUGAACCGGUCGAAGAUACCAGCUGGCUGCAACUGUUUAUUAAAAACACAGCACUCUGCAAACACGAAAGUGGACGUAUAGGGUGUGAUGCCUGCCCGGUGCUGGAAGGUUAAUUGAUGGUGUAAUCGAAAGAGAAGCUCCUGAUCGAAGCCCCAGUAAACGGCGGCCGUAACUAUAACGGUCCUAAGGUAGCGAAAUUCCUUGUCGGGUAAGUUCCGACCUGCACGAAUGGCAUAAUGAUGGCCAGGCUGUCUCCACCCGAGACUCAGUGAAAUUGAAAUCGCCGUGAAGAUGCGGUGUACCCGCGGCUAGACGGAAAGACCCCGUGAACCUUUACUAUAGCUUGACACUGAACAUUGAAUUUUGAUGUGUAGGAUAGGUGGGAGACUUAGAAGUAGUCACGCCAGUGAUUAUGGAGUCGUCCUUGAAAUACCACCCUUUAACGUUUGAUGUUCUAACGAAGAUUACGAAACGUGGUCUCGGACAGUGUCUGGUGGGUAGUUUGACUGGGGCGGUCUCCUCCCAAAGAGUAACGGAGGAGCACGAAGGUUUGCUAAUGACGGUCGGACAUCGUCAGGUUAGUGCAAUGGUAUAAGCAAGCUUAACUGCGAGACAGACAAGUCGAGCAGGUACGAAAGUAGGUCAUAGUGAUCCGGUGGUUCUGAAUGGAAGGGCCAUCGCUCAACGGAUAAAAGGUACUCCGGGGAUAACAGGCUGAUACCGCCCAAGAGUUCAUAUCGACGGCGGUGUUUGGCACCUCGAUGUCGGCUCAUCACAUCCUGGGGCUGAAGUAGGUCCCAAGGGUAUGGCUGUUCGCCAUUUAAAGUGGUACGCGAGCUGGGUUUAGAACGUCGUGAGACAGUUCGGUCCCUAUCUGCCGUGGGCGUUGGAGAAUUGGUUGGGGCUGCUCCUAGUACGAGAGGACCGGAGUGGACGCACCACUGGUGUUCCGGUUGUGUCGCCAGACGCAUUGCCGGGUAGCUAAGUGCGGAAGAGAUAAGUGCUGAAAGCAUCUAAGCACGAAACUUGCCAAGAGAUGAGUUCUCCCAGAUUUAAAAUCUGUAAGGGUUGUUUAAGACUAAGACGUAGAUAGGUGCGGUGUGUAAGUGAUGUGAGUCAUUGAGCUAACGCAUACUAAUUGCCCGAGAGGCUUAACUAU